UCUCACUGUGGGCCCCUCAAGUGGGAAGUGCUUUCUGUUGUAGGAAUGGAGGAAGUGCUUCCUUUUUGAGGGUCGCCCGUGAGA
rnacentral:pre_miRNA from 1 species